UCUCUCGUAGCUUAGUUGGUCAAAGCAUUGGUGUGUAAAGCCAGAGGUCUCGGGUUCGAUCCCCGGCGGGGGUG
rnacentral:tRNA from 1 species